GGAUGCAAUUAUACUAGCACUAAAGCACCGGAUCCUAUCAGAACUCCAUAGUUAAGCGUGCUUGGACGAGAGUAGUACUGGGAUCAAGGUUUUUUAGGCGACCAUGCGGUCAUGCG
rnacentral:rRNA from 1 species